AUACGGAGGAUCCGAGCGUUAUCCGGAUUUAUUGGGUUUAAAGGGAGCGUAGGUGGACAGUUAAGUCAGUUGUGAAAGUUUGCGGCUCAACCGUAAAAUUGCAGUUGAUACUGGCUGUCUUGAGUACAGUAGAGGUGGGCGGAAUUCGUGGUGUAGCGGUGAAAUGCUUAGAUAUCACGAAGAACUCCGAUUGCGAAGGCAGCUCACUGGACUGCAACUGACACUGAGGCUCGAAAGUGUGGGUAUCAAACAGGAUUAGAUACCCUGGUAGUCCACACAGUAAACGAUGAAUACUCGCUGUUUGCGAUAUACAGUAAGCGGCCAAGCGAAAGCAUUAAGUAUUCCACCUGGGGAGUACGCCGGCGACGGUGAAACUCAAAGGAAUUGACGGGG
rnacentral:rRNA from 1 species